UGGGAAUUUCACAUUUUAUGAAACAUGCAUAAUUCACAUUCAUAAAUAAAUCUGACAAAUAAAAAUUUAAAAAAAUUAUGAUAAAAGGCAAUUAAAUUAAAAUUAACUCAAGU